rnacentral:lncRNA from 1 species
GGAGCAGCAACUGAAUGCUACGUGGCAUUGCAUCCGCAAGUUAAGGGUGUCAGCGGCGAAUAUUUUAUGGACAGCAACAAAGCCAAUCCAACCUCUCAGGCUAAAGAUCCAGAACUGGCAAAGAAGCUAUGGGAUUUCAGUUUGAGCCUGACGGAUCCAAAGUAACCGGGAACAAAACUCUGUUGUAAAUUGCAAGUCAAUGUCAAUGUCCCUUUUACCCGUUUGAGACUUGAGUGCUAAGACGUUGAAUGACCAUGUAAAACAUAUAUAGGCUAUGGCAGGGGACUUAUCCUUGGCCCUGCCUAAAAUUAUGAACUUUUUUUCUUUCUAUUUUCCUAUAAUGAAAAACAUGGGUUAUGGUUCUUAUAUUUGUCAUGAAUGUAUAUGGUUUAUCUACUAUUUCCAAAGCACUUCAAUCCAAAGGAUUCUGUUCCACAUGUAUACAUAUAAGAGCAACAUCACAAACGUCAUUGUGAUUACAAAUCACCAUUUUAAAAGAGCCAUUGCUUUGUCUUUUCCUCUGAUUUUGGUGUGUGCUGUAAAUUAGAGGAGCAACAUGACGAGCAUUAUUGCUAAUUACAAUUCCCAGAAAUAUUGCCGUGUAAGACAGGACCAGCAGCAAUCAAAACAGUAGGCCUUGUAUUAUAUGCCUCUUAUUAACAUUUGGAGCAAUGUAUUCAAAUUGCAAUUGAUAGAAGGUCUCUGUGCAGCUGUGCUGUAACAUGUAACUUCAUUAUCUGCAAAAUUAAUGGGUGGGAUAUUUACCAAGAAGGAGCAUCUGGGUUCUCUGCUUCUUCCACAGCAGAGGAAGUUACUGAAGGGAUUGAUGGAACUGGUCUUACUGCCAUUGUUACAGGUCAUGCUCUGUUUUAAGCUUCCUAUAGGAUACACAUAACAAUAUUGUCUUGGCUGCUCUCCAGCCUAUUUGACAUCUAACAUGUCAAUGAGUCUUUCUCUGUGUCUUCCAAAGUAAGGUUGUAAAAUUUUAUUUUUUAUCAUAAACUUUGUUUAAUUUCAGGAGCUGCAAGUGGUAUUGGCGUAGAGACAUCAUGUGUUCUUGCGUUGCGUGGUGUCCAUGUAGUUAUGGCAGUAAGGAACAAGGAUGCUGGGACGAACGUCAAAGAAGCAAUUCUUAAAGAAUCCCAGAGGCUAAAAUUGAUCUCAUGGAGUUAGACCUCAGCUCAUUGGCAUCUGUAAGAAAAUUUGCAGCAGAUUUUAAAUACUUGGACCUUCCAUUGAACAUAAAUGUAAGAUAAGCAAAUUCUUAAAUUUCCUUCUUUCUUGUGUUGUAUGUGCAUAUGGUUUUCUCAUGGAAAUAAAGAAAAUGACAGCUCUCUCAGCACCAUACACGCACUCAUUUGUAGUAUUGCACUCUCUCCUUUGUUCGAAGUAACAAUGCAGGCACUAUGGCAACUCCAUUCAAGCUUUCUGAAGACAACAUAGAGCUCCAUUUUGCAACUAACCAUUUAGGUGUGUCUGCCUAAAAUUUUCUUUGAAGUCUGUCCUGUAGUAUAAUGGAUUCAGAUUUCUACGAUUCGCUUUGGUCGAGUUAUUAACUUUUACUCGAACCAUCCAAUGUGCAGGUCAUUUUCUCCUCACAGAUCUUUUGUUGGAGACCAUGAAAAGCACAUCGCGAGAAAGGAAAACAGAGGGGAGAAUUGUCAAUGUAUCAUCACUAGGCCAUCGAUACGUUACCGUGAAGGGUUUUGUUAUGAUAAAAUUAACGAUGAAUCAAGGUAAAACUGUGGCAGCACCCUUUUGAAAAAUCGUCUUUAGGCUAAUGAGGUGUUUGUGUAUAUAAAUACAUGAUCAACAAUCUGCCGUUUUGACUUGCUAUACAGAUACCACAGAUAUUAUGCUUAUGGACCGUCCAAGCUUGGAAACAUAUUGCAUGCUAAUGAGCUUACAAGACGUCUGAAGGUAUUGAGUUUCUUAAGGUCAUCAACUAUCUCUAAAGCUCUGAUACCACUGUUAGUUCUAGGGAGAAGAGAGGCUUAGGAUAAUAGCUUGAUAAUGAAUAGAAAGCUUUUGAAAGAGUAACAAGAUAAUUUUAUUUUAUUGAUUGAAAUAAGAAGGGUACAAGGGCUUUAGAGUUGGUUGGAUGCACGAGGUGGCUGAUGUGAGUUUAGACAGCUGGUAGUUUUUCAGCUUUCUUACUUGAAUACAUAAUUGUUAUAUGUCUCUGUGUGAAUGACUUAUUUAUUAUUUUUUGCUCAAAUAUUCAUGCUGUGAAUAGUGUCAAAUUAUUGUUAUGUGUGAAUUUUGAUAUGAAAGAUUUAGGUGAUGUUAAUGUAAUACUUGGAAUUAAGAUAACUAGGUCUGAAAAAGGAUUCUCUUUGGAUCAAUCUUAUUACAUUGAAAAAAUCCUUAAGAAGUAUAAUUACUUUGACUGUAAAUCAGCAUGUGAUCCUAGUAUAAAGUUGUUCAAGAAUAUUGGUGACAGUGUUAGACAAACUGAGUAUGCGAGCAUCAUUGGUAGCCUUUGAUAUGCUACUGAUUGCACUAGGGGUGAUAUAGCUUAUGCCGUAGGAGUAAUAUGUAGGUUUACAAGUAGACCUAGUUUGGAGCAUUGGUAUGCUAUUGAGAGGGUCAUGCGGUACCUUAAGAGGACGAUGAACCUUGGACUACACUAUGAGAAGUUUCCCGCUGUCCUAGAAGGAUAUAGCGAUGCUGAUUGGAAUACCAUGUCAAAUGAUUCAAAGGCUACUAGUGGAUAUAUAUUUAAUAUUGCUGGUGGUGCAAUUUCAUGGAAGUCUAAGAAAUAGACUAUUUUGGCUUGGUCCACAAUGGAGUCAGAGAUGAUAGCCCUAGCAAUGGCUAGUGAGGAAGCAGGUUGGUUGAGAAACGAUACCCCCUUGUGGGAGAGACCGAUACCAGCUGUUCUUAUCCACUGUGAUAGUACUGCAGCUAUUGCAAAAGUUCAGAACCGUUAUUAUAAUGGCAAGGGGCGACAAAUACGUCGCAAGCACAGUACUAUUAGAGAGUUUCUUUCUAAUGGGGCUGUAAGAGUGGAUUAUGUACGGUAUGAUGAGAAUUUAGCUGAUCCUUUGACAAAAGGACUAGCACGAGAAAAGGUUUGGAAAACUUCAAAAGGAAUGGGACUAAAACCCCUAGAAGGUUAAGUCACUUAUGAUGGUAACCCAACCUAUAGAUUGGAAAUCCCAAGAAAUAGGUUCAAUGGGUAAUAACAAGUCAUUUAGUGAUAUGAGUGAAGUCAUGCUAGUGUUCCAUAUCCAUCCUUAGAAGCAUGAAAUCCUGAAGCGAUUUAAGGUUGAGUUGUUUAUAACUCUUAAUGAGAUCUAUACUCUAUAUUGAGUGGGAUAUCUAGCUACAUGAAUAUCUUUGAUAGUCUCACCUAUGUGAAUGUGAAAGUGAGGCUGCUUUCUAUGAAAAUUUUGGGGGAAAUUUUCUAGAGCAUUCACUAUACUGGGAUACAAGCACAUGGCCGUAAAGUGCUGGCUUUUGAACUUCACCUUAGUAGGGCUAUGUGUGUGGUGUUGUCAGAGAUAGAGUUCAAAACUAUAUGUUACUCUUGUAUAUUCUGAAGCUCCGUCACUAUGUAAAGGUUCAAGUUGAAAAACACCUCUACUUAUGCAUAGUCUUAUGAUAUGUUGCUUAAUGAAUUUAUUUCUAAAACAAACAAGUGGGGGAUUGUUGAAGUUGGUAUGUUUAUUUUUUAUUUUUAAAAAUAUAUAUAUUCAAUAAUUCAAUAAUUGCCUUAAAUUGUCUUUAUUAAUAGGAGUUAUUUUCUAUGGGAUGAAUCCUUUUUUUUCAACUGAUGCACAACGUCUCUUUGUGAUAAUUUUCUGUUAAUUGGCUGAAUCUUUUUUCAACUGCUGCAUUGAUGUCCUUAAAGGCCACAACGUCUCUUUGUGUUAAAUCUAGUAUAUAUAUAAGAGUCAGCUAGGAGAGAAGGAACAGACAACAGCUGCUGCCUUCCUCCUCUUCAUAUAUUUUUCUUAUUUUUUAAACUAAGGGUUUCUGAGCAACAUAAAAAGGUGUUUGUAUUCGGGUCAUUCCUCAGUGCAAGGAAGAACCUAGACAGAGGAGAUUCUGGGACUGUUUUAUCCUGGGGACGUAGUGACAUUUUCAAAACUGCUUGCACUAAUUGGGCAGAGCCGCGAAACGUCUUAAAGAGAGCGACUUUGUACGCGACUCAUCCCAAGAAUUGUUCACAGUUUCACAACGAAUUUUUCCGAGUAAUAUUGUUCUUUUAAUUUUCUCUACUUCAACAGUUUGCCAAAAGGGUUACGAGUGGAGAGGGCAUAGGAGUUAUAGUUGAAGACAAAAUGGGUAAAUCUCAACUUUAUUAUAAUCCAGUAUGUGAUUACAGUUUGCAGUUUGGCAAUUUGAUUUCAGUGCAGAAAAAAGCCACAGAAAAUAUUAGAACACCAUACUACUUGGCAUUUGUCAAACUCAAGCUAAAGUCCCAGAGUCUGGUUGCCAAAUCUGCAUCUUUUGCCUGAGAGCUCGGUUUGGCGAUGUUACAGUCCACAAAGUAUUCACCGCCUACUUCCUUAAGCUGUGGAUGGAGUGCCACAAAGCAUGUGGUUGCCGCACCCUGCAUGACCAUGUUCAAUGACAUAAUUAGUUUCAUAUAAUGUGAAUGCCCAAAAAAGAUUUUGUAUCAAACAAAAGAGAAAUAUCAUCUCUUGUGGAACAUAAAGAUGUACCUGCUGAACAGUUCUAGAGAUAAAUAUGCUCAGCACCUUAAGAAUACCUGCGUCAAGCCAAAGAAAAUGUGAGUUGAUCUGUGGAAACCCAGAGAAAUACUACUGCACUGUCAACAAAUGUAUCCAUGUGUGUUAGUUCUAGGGAGAAGAGAGGCUUAGGAUAAUAACUUGAUAAUGAAUAGAAAACUUUUGAAAGAGUAACAAGAUAAUUUUAUUUUAUUGAUUGAAAUAAGAAGGGUACAAGGGCUUUAGAGUUGGUUGGAUGCACGAGGUGGCUGAUGUGAGUUUAGACAGCUGGUAGUUUUUCAGCUUUCUUAGAGCAUUCCAGCAAAGGAANNNNNNNNNNNNNNNNNNNNNNNNNNNNNNNNNNNNNNNNNNNNNNNNNNNNNNNNNNNNNNNNNNNNNNNNNNNNNNNNNNNNNNNNNNNNNNNNNNNNGAGCCCUUGGGAGAUUAUGCGGGCCAGCCUCCCCCUCGGGCCACCCCAGUUUCCUUGGCCCCACAUCUGGCCCGGACUGCGCUGGCCUGCCGGCAAACCCAAUUUUUCUUUUCCAGCAGCAAAGAUCUGCCAGGGCAAGAUGUGGGGCCCAGGAAACUGGGCUGGCCCGAGGGGGAGGCUGGCCCGCAUAAUCUCCCAACGGCUCUCUUCCACGUGGCACACUUCUGAGCGCGCUGAUUCAAUUUUUCCAGCAAUCCAACGGCACUCAUUUUUUCCCGAAUAAAAAAAUCAAAACCGCACCCCCCAACGGCUCUCUUCCACGUGGCUCCUUCUGGGCUCUCCGAUCUGCUUUUUCUAGAAAUCCAAUGGUAGCCAAUUUUUUCUCAAAUAAAAAAAUCUAAAUUUUUUUUAAAAAAAUACCUAAAAAAUACUGAAAUUUUUUUCUACAAAUACCAACCAAUACUCUUCACUUUUAACACCAACUCCUCAUACAUUUUCUUCUCCUUCUACUAUUAUUCACUUUCUACUCAAUAUUUUUUCACUUUCAAGUUAUUUUUUUCUCUAUCAUAUUAUGGAUUCUUCUAAUGAAACCGGAGGGGCAUGGAGCAUGAUGGAAGAUGUUAGCUUGUGUGAGGCUUGGCUCCGAGUUAGUCAUUGUCCCGUAACGGGCAAUGAGAUUAAAUUCUGUCAUAUGUGGAAAAAAAUUCAUCAGGAAUUUUGUGAUAGGGUAAUUGGUUCGACUCGUACAGAUCAAGCAUUAUCUAGUAGGUGGAAAAUUCUUAACAAAGAGUUGGGGAAAUGGAGAGAUGCAUUGACAAAAGCUAUGGACAACCAUAGAAGCGGGGAAAACCUUAGCAGUGAGGUAAAUUAUUUGUAAUUUUUGUUUAUUAAUUUCUAUGUCAUAUUAAAUUUUAUUUAAAUGUUUCUUGCAAUUUAUAUAUGUUGUUAAUAUUUCUUGUAUUUCAAUAUUAAUAUGAAUGUUUCUUGCAUAUUUAUAUUUUGUUUUGAAUUUCUAAUAAAUUGUUAAAGUUUCUUGCGUUUCCAUUAAUUUUUUUUUAAUACCUGUUGCAUUGCCAAUAUUUUUUAAAGUUUCUUGUAUUGCCAAUUUUUUUUUAUACUUGUUGCAUUGCCAAUAUUUUUUAAAGUUUCUUGUAUCGCCAUUUUUUUUUUAUACUUGUUGCAUUGCCAAUUUUUUUUUUAUACUUGUUGCAUUGCCAAUAUUUUUUUAAAGUUUCUUGUAUUGCCAUGUUUUUUUUAUACUUGUUGCAUUGCCAAUAUUUUUUAAAGUUUCUUACAUUUUUUUUUUGUAUAGAUUAUGCAAGCACAAAUGUUUUUUGAUGCUACUUGGGGGGGGGGGGGGGGGGUGUGGGAAGUUUCAACCAUACCCUAGGUGGUGAAGAAUUGUAAGAGAUUCCAAAUUAUUCAAACGGGUCCGACGGUAGUCUUGAACGAGACGCCACUCCAUGAGACACCGGCAUCGGAUUCACCUAUGGAUUCCCCGAUGAGUCAAGACUCGCCUAUUGAAAAGGAGCCUAGGCCUAUUGGGAGGAAGGCGGCGAAGGCGAAGAGAGGGAGUAGUUCUACCAAGAAUGCAUCUAAAUUUUUGGAGGAACUUUCAAAGAUGCAAGCCAUGAGAAUUGAAAUGGACAUGAAACAACAAGAGCACGAUAGGGCAAUUGAUGUAGAAUAUGCAAAAGAAAGGGAGUAUGUACGCUAAGAAAGGGAGUAUGUACGCCAAGAAAAGAUUGAAAAAAAGGAUCGGGAAACCAUGGCCAUGGAUACAAGCCAUAUGUCUCCUGAAACAAAAUAAUUUUGGAAGCUAGAACGAAGGGAUGUUAUAAGACAAAGACUUUUUCGUGACGAUGGACCUAGCAACACGGAUUGGUUAAAUGAUCAAAACCAUUAAGUUAGUUUGCUUGCCUUUCAUUUCAUUGUAUUUUUUGUUUUGUUUCAAAAAUUAGUGGUAAUUCAUGUAUUUUAUUUUAUGAGUUGAAUUGAUUUUCUUUUACUGAAUAAAGAAAAUAUUCAACAAAAUUCCUUUUUAUUCAAAACAUUCCAUACAUAAAAAGCAAACCACAACCAAAGCAUAAAAAAAAAAAAUUCAAACCACAACUAAAGCAUAAAAAAAUAAUAAAGCAUAACUAAAAAUACAACAUAAACAUAAUACAUUAAAAAAACAUCUUCACUUCACUUCAUUCACCUUCAUUGCCUUUCACCGACCACAAAUGCUCCAUCUAGUCAACUUGACGGUGUUCAUGAAUAUACGACGAUUGCAUCUCCGUGUAGCGCUCAAUCAUACGAGGCAAGAAACUACCGUCUCUAACCAAGGGAUCAUGCUGCACUGGUUCUCCAUUUGGCCCCAUGGGUUUUUCAUAAAUUCGUGUUAAGGCCGUGUUCAUGGGAUCCGGUUCAUACACUUCAUCAGCAUCGUAAUCAUACUCAUCUUCCACAAUCAUGUUGUGGAGGAUGAUACAAGUCAUCAUUAUACUCCUAAGCACCUCCUCGUCAAAUAGACGAGCCGCACCCCUGAUAAUAGCCCACCGGGCUUGAAGGAUACCAAAGCACCUCUCCACAUCUUUUAUGUAGCCCUCUUGAUAGGCAGAAAAAAAAAUUUCCUUAUGGGAUCGGGGAUGUGGAAUUGAUUUCACAAAUGUUGUCCAUCUCGGGUAGAUACCAUAAGCUAGAUAAUACCGAUUCUGGUAGACGGUAUUAUUGAUUUGAUAUGUGAUAUUUGGGCCUUCACCUCUCAGAACAUCAUUGAACACUGGGGAUUGACCCAGGACGUUCAAAUCGUUUUGAGAGCCGGCAACUCCAAAAAAGGCGUGCCAAAUCCAUGUAUCAAAACCAGCAACUGCUUCAAGGAUGAUACUUUUCUGCCCUUUCCGAUUGCCAUAAUCCCCUUGCCAAGCAGUUGGAAAAUUUUUCCAUUGCCAGUGCAUGCAGUCAAUGAUACCAAUCAUUCCAGGAAAUCCACGAGACUCAGCUUUUUUUAGAAGCCGUUGCAGAUCCCUGAGCGUAGGUCUGCGCAGGUACUCCCUGGUGUACAGAGUUUCCACUGCAUCACAAAAUCGCACCAAGCUCUCCAAAAUAGUGGACUUCCCCAUCUAGGCAAUCUCAUCCACCUGAUCAGCAGAUGACCCAUACGCUAACAUUCGUAUCACAGCUGUGAACUUUUGCUCGGGAAGAAGCCCCAAAUUUUCAGCACAAUUUUUCUUUUGAACAAAGUAUUCAUCAUAAUUACAAAUAUCAUGCAUGACUUUAUUGAACAAAUGAUGUUGCAUUCUAUAUCUCGCUCGAAAAUGAACAUCAGAGUACAGAAAAUGUGGGAUAAAAUAAUCUUCCAAAAGAUUCUUACCCCGAGAAUGUCUAUGUCUGUCCACAUUCGGGGCACGGCCUUCUCGUGAACCACGGCGGCUCUGGUUUUCUUCCUCCAGCACAGCAACGGCCAUGCCAAGUUGCUCAUCUAGUUCUCUCUGCACCCUUUUGCUUGCAGCUCGUCGACGCAUUCUUUCUUUCCUUUCUCUCUCUUGCCUCUCCAAAACCUCUUGCAUGUCUGCCAUUGAAAAUGGAGAAUUAAAUCUAAAAUCUGAGAAAUUGAAAUGUAGAGAAGAUCUGGUGUGGGAGGUAUGAGUUGAGCUUCUGGUUUUGUAGAAAAAUUUAGACAGAUAGUUAUGACACGUGGCGCAAUCUUAGAGGGUGAAAAUCUUAUCUGAAAUUUGAAUUUCAAAUGAAAUUUAAAAUUUAAAAUUUAUCUGAAAUUUGAAUUUCGAAAUGUAUCUGAAAUUUGACAUUUUGAAUUUAUCUGAAAUUUGGAUUUUGAAAUGUAUCUGAAAUUUGAAAUUUAUCUGAAAUUUAUAUGAAAUUUGAAACCGAAAAUCUUAUCCGAUAUGAAUAGUAUUGACACGUAGGAACCCAAAAAUCUUAUCCGAAAAUAUUAUCCAAAUUAAUUAUUUAAAUAAACAAAGUUGUGAAAAAAAAACAAAAAAAAUGAAUAGUAUUUGCCAUGGCAAGCCUAAAUUGCUGGAAACACAUUUUGCUGGGGGGCUAGGGCAGCCACUAUUCACGUGAAUAGUAGCUGCCCCAGGGCUCCCCUUGCCAUGACAAGGGGCUAACUGGUGGAAAUGCUCUUACUUGAAUACAUAAUUGUGCUGCUAUAGCUAUAUAUAGAGUAGCUAAACCGACUCAAAGGAUGGCAAAUAUCUAGUGAAGUCGGUUAUUGCAUAGUAACCGACUUCCAAAGUGUUUUCCAGCCACUAGUUAUAAUAUAAGUCUAGAAUUUUCUAGUUACAAUACAUUAUAUAAUUAAUAGGAUGUUUUUAGUAUAGAGCUCAAAUUUGACUUGUGAUCUUUUCUCAAUUUUUUUAGACUUUUCUAUAUUAUUCUAGUACAAGUGUGCAUUAUUUUUUAACACUCCUCCUUAAUGCACAUUUGUGUUACUCCGAGCAAGCUUCGUAGUAGUUCGAAUUUUGGUCUUGGAAGUGCCUUAGUGAAAAUGUCUGCGAUUUGCUCUUCUGUCUUGCAAUACUUGAGCUCAACUUCUUUGUUUGCUGAGACUUCUCAUAAGAAGUGAUGCUUGAUGGCGAUAUGCUUUGUCCUGCUGUGAAAUACUGGAUUCUUUGCCAUUGCUAUAGCAGACUUGUUGUCGCAAAAUAUUUCAGUAGCUUCUAUUUGGCACUCUCCCAUAUCUUCAAAUAUUCUUUUGAGCCAAAUAGCUUGGCAUGCUGAACUUGCUGCUGCUACUUACUCGGCUUCUGCUGAUGAUUGAGCCACAAUCUCUUGUUUCUUUGAUGACCAUGAAAAUAUUCCUGAUCCAAUUGUAAAUGCAUAGCUUGAUGUGCUUUUCAUGUCAUCUACUGAUCCAGCCCAAUCACUGUCUGUGUAGCCAAAUAGUCUUGGAUCUGUAGUGGGCUUAUACCAUAUGCCAUAGUCAACAAGCACCACGAGCAUGGAACAGCCGCAUAGACAAGUACUUCAUCAACGCAAGCUUUAGGAGGAGCAAAAGCAAGCCUACUCUCUACACUAAAACUCAAGGUAAGUCCGAUAUCUUUGUGGCACUCCAUCCACAGCUUAAGGGAGUAGGCGGUGAAUACUUUGUGGGCUGUAACAUCGCCAAACCGAGCUCUCAGGCAAAAGAUGCAGAUUUGGCAACCAGACUCUGGGACUUUAGCUUGAGUUUGACAAAUGCAAAGUAGUAUGGUGUUGUAAUAUUUUCUGGGUCAUGUAGUAGCUGGCUUUUUUCUGCACUGAAAUCAAAUUGCCAAACUGCAAACUGUAAUCACAUACUGGAUUAUAAUAACGUUGAGAUUUACCCAUUUUGUCUUCAACUAUAACUCCUAUGCCCUCUCCACUCGUAACCCUUUUGGCAAACUUGUCAUUCAAGUACUGCAGAACAUGUUCGAUGACCGAUUUUUUGGGCAUCAGUAGCCUUGAGCAGUUUCUAAGGUCGCUUACUGUCAGCUUCUUCCUGCAGUUUCCAAGGCCCCUGAUCCUGAGGCCGUGGACUCAGCGUAGUUUCCGGCACAACUUGGUUUCUUUUCUUUUUCUUUAAUUCCUUGUUCAUAUGAUUCGUACUCUAUUUUCUUGUGUUUUGGAUUAGGAGGGAAUGCAGAAAAUGUGAGAGGAGCAAGGUCUAAUUCCUCUGCUUUUCUCUGGUUUGUGUUGUAAUUCCAAGUUGGAUCACACAAAGUGAGGGCAGUGGAAACUUGGCCUGGUAGUGGGCAAUGAUUUGCACUGGUACUAGCUUCUUCCUCCGUUGUUAAUGUUGAAAUUAAGAGAAGAAAAUAAAUCAAACUACAAAACAAUCAAUUGAUGAAUUCUAGUGGUUGGGGGAGAAACGGGCUUCAAUGCUUGGAAUGAAAUUGCCAAUAAGAGCAAGAUGUGUGGGUAUUAUUUAUAAGUACAUUUUGUUACCCUUUCCAAUUAGGAAACUUGCGUUGCGUUUCCUUGUUGGGUUGGUUUCUGUCAGUCAGAUGCUUAUAGUGUGGUUUCUUGGUGGUGAAGUAAUUUUAUGGGUUUUCAAAUUUACAUUGAGCUGUUGUGAGUGUUGUGCUUGAUCAUUAAGGGUUUGUUUGGACGAGGGACUUGGACAUGCGAUUUGGGCUUUCAUGGAAUUUAACAAAUUUCAUAUGCCCCGUUUGGCAAGCCCGAAGAAAAAGAACCAGAGAAGUUUGAAUUUCCCUAGGGUUUUCAUUAUCUUGUUUGUAUCAAUCAGUUAGUUGAAUUACAAUCACGCACAGGGUUUGGUAUUUGUAUGCUGGGGAAUUCGCUUAUUCUUGCAGAUUGAGGAUCAUUAAGUGAACGAAAGCAGCCCUUUCAUGCUUGGGAUUUUUGUUAUUUUAGGGUGGCCUAUACCAUUGGAAGUGUCAAGAGAAGAAAGGGGAAAGAGGUUUAAAAAAAGGGGNNNNNNNNNNNNNNNNNNNNNNNNNNNNNNNNNNNNNNNNNNNNNNNNNNNNNNNNNNNNNNNNNNNNNNNNNNNNNNNNNNNNNNNNNNNNNNNNNNNNGACGCUAGAACACUCCGACACGUAUAACCGGUGUGUGGGUUUUAGACCAGCCGAUAAACAAAAAAGGGGGGAAAAUAUAAAGUGCAUCGCUGCUCGGCUAUACUAUUUAUUAAAAAAGAAAAAUAUUAAAUAAAAAAAAGGGUAUAGCCGGUCGGCUAUAUUAUUUUUUAAAAAAAAACAAAAAAAGGGUAUUGCCGCACCGCUAUACAAUUUUUUUUAAAAUUAGGGAAAAGGAUAUUGUCGUCUGGCUAUACUAUUUUUAAAACAAAUUAGAAAAAAACUGAGUAUAGCCGUUCGGCUAUACUAUUUAUAUAUAUUUAAAAAGUCCUGCCUAGAGCUUAGGUGCCACGUGUCAAAAACAGUAUGGCCGUUCGGCUAUACUGUGUUUUAAAACAAUUAGGCAAAACGGGUAUAGCCGAACGGCUAUACUAUUUUUAAAAAAAAAUUAGGAAAAUCUGGUGUCGCCGUCCGGCUAUACUAUUUUUAAAAACAAAAAAGGACGCGCCACGUGUAAAGUAAGUAGAGCUUAGGAAAAAGGCGUAUAGCCGUUCGGCUAUACUAUUUAUAUAUAUUAAAAAAAGACCGGCCUAGCACCUAAGCGGCACGUGUAAACAAGUCAAGCCGUGCGGCUAUACGUGUUUUUAAAUUACGAAAAAACCGAUUAUAGCCGUUCGGCUAUACUAUUUUUUUAAUUUUAUAAAACCAAGUAUAGCCGUGCGGCCGUACCAGGUUUUAUUUUUAUUUUUUAAAAGAUCUAAAGUUUUUCCUUUUAUUUGUUGUCAAAUUUAACCACUAUAGAAGUAGUAUUAUCAAACAAGUGAGUCUAGUAUCAUUGUUACCAAAACAACCUGUUGACAAAACUUCUGAUUUGGCAUUUGGUCAACAACAAUGUGUUCCAAACGACAUCGUUGUAUAUCAGAUUAACAUCAGAAACGUCAUUACUUACUAUAAUCCCAAAAGUCUUUCAUGUUUUGGUCCUCUGAUCCCUCAAGUCAAUUGGUAUCUAUUAUGUAUCAUUGGUGGGGCACCCCAAGCAUAGCCUUUUCCUCACAUUGCCUAUAUUUUAAUCAGAGAAAUCCUAUGUUAUGUUGCUUUUGUUGGCAUUCUUUGUAACUUCACAUUAUCAUCUGCAACUUUCAUGGGGAUUUUUAGCAAGAAACAACAAUCUGGGUUCUCUGCCUCUUCAACAGCAGAGGAAGUUACUGAAGGGAUUGAUGGAACUGGUCUUACUGCAAUUGUUACAGGUCAUCAUGCUCUAUUUUUUAAGCUUCAUAUAUGAAAUAUUUUUUUUAUAAAAAUCUGAUAAAGGAUUUUCCAAUGUAAAAAUGGAAAAAUGAUUAGAAGAUCAGUAAUCUGGACUAGCUUUUAGUAAUUCUUUGAUAUAUACAUACUUUUGUAUUUUUAAUUUUAUAUUUAAGUACUUUUCUUAGUUUCUUGGAUGAUCAUUUAUCAUUCCAAAUCUAAAUGAAAUUAAGCUGUUGACUGAGAAAACAUGCAUGAAGCUAAGAUGGCUUCUUCUAUAAGUUCUCUUCUAUGAUAUAAGAUGUCUAUUAUUUCUCAUAUAUAUACAGCAAGUAUAGCAAGACCCUUCAGUUUUUGUUUCUUAAUUUUCAUGUCAAUGAGCGUUCCUCUGUGUGUUUCUCAAGGUAAGGUUGUUCAAUUUCAGGAGCCUCAAGUGGUAUUGGUGUAGAGACAGCGCGUGUUCUUGCAUUGCGCGGUGUCCAUGUAGUUAUGGCAGUAAGGAACACCGAUGCUGGGGCGAAUGUCAAAGAAGUAAUCCUUAAAGAAAUUCCCAAUGCUAAAAUUGAUGUCAGGGAGUUAGACCUCAGCUCAUUCACAUCUGUAAGAAAAUUUGCAGCAGAUUAUCGUUCCUCAGGCCUUCCAUUGAACAUCCUUAUGUAAGAUAAGCAAAUGCAAGUUUCCUUCUGUUUGUUGUGUGUGGUUUGUUACAUAUUUACUUUAUUAUAUGAAGCUAAUAUGUCUUUAUUUCAUACUAUGGCAAUAAGAAGUAAUACAAUCUCUUCUUUGUUGGAAGUAACAAUGCAGGGGUAGGAGUGACACCGUUCAAACUUUCUCAAGACAGUAUAGAACUCCAGUUCGCAACGAAUCAUUUAGGUUUGUUACCUAGAAAUUGCUUUGAACUGUAGCCUGCCUACUGAUCAGUUUCAUACAAGUUUCUUUUACCAAUCUAUUUGUUUCUUGAACCAUCAAAUGUGCAGGUCAUUUUCUUCUCACAAAUCUUUUGUUGGAGACCAUGAAAAGCACAUCGCGAGAAAGCAACACAGAGGGGAGAAUCGUGAACGUAUCAUCACUGAGCCAUCAUUACGGAUACCGUGAAGGAAUUCGUUUUGAUAAACUUAAUGAUGAACCCACGUAAAUCUUCUGCAGGAUAUGCAGAUUAUAUAUGCUCAUACCUGUUUUAAACAUUUUGAGAUGUCUGUUUGGAUAAAUAUUUGUCAACAAUCUGACCCUUUUACUUGCUAAUAUACAGAUACAACAGGCAUUUUGCUUAUGCACAAUCCAAACUUGCUAACAUCCUACAUGCUAACGAGCUUUCGCGGUGUCUGAAGGUAUUGAACAUUUAAGGACAUCCCAUUAUUUAUGCCUAAUUUCUAUGGACAUAUAUUGCAUGUAUCCUUAUCUUCUUGGUUGACUUGGUAACUUAUUUUUGAAACAUCAACUAAACAGGAAGAAGGGGUAGAGAUAACGGCUAAUUCUGUUCAUCCCGGAGCAAUUCUCACGAAUAUUACCCGCCAUGACAGCUUCGCACGGUGUAAGCUUUAUCUUCUCUACUUUACCAGUGACAAUUACUUUUACUGUAAAAUCCCCUGCAGUCAAGACUAAAUGCAUCACUUUUCAUAUUAGCUCAUAAUCAAAGUUCUUGACGCUGAGUAUUUGUCUGAUUUUUCACUGAUAAACUCACUUUUUUCAUUGGCCUGACAGGUGUUUUUACUGUGGUGUGUUUGUUUAUCUCUAAAACUGUUCAGCAGGUACUUCUUGACGUUCCACAAUAUAUUAAAUCAUAUGAUUUUAUUUGAUUUUCUAGAUAGAGAAUCUUGUGUUUGUACUAUAUAUUCACAUUGUAUAGCAGCUGCCCUUGAACUAUUUCAAUGAACAUGGUCAUGCAGGGUGCGGCAACCACAUGCUUUGUGGCACUCAAUCCACAAGUUAAGGGAGUAGGCGGCGAAUACUUUUCGGACUGUAAGAUUGCCAAACGGAGCUCUCAGGCAAAAGAUGCUGAUAUGGCUAGGAGACUCUGGGAUUGUAGCUUUAGUUUGACCAAUCCCAAGAAGUAGGAUGUUUUAAUAUUUGCUGGUUGCACUGUUCGUUAUGAAAUCAAACCUCCAAAUCUCAAACUGUAACCAAAUGCUGAACUCAGACUAUAAAAAGUUCCCAUUUGUUCCUUAUUUGUAAUUUAAAACCAGUCUAGAAACUGGAGCACAUAGACAACAUGAAUGGAACUACAAAGUAAACAGCUUUCAACAUGGUCAAGAAGCAACAUGUGGUUUAUGGUUUAAGAUGUUUAACAUGAUGUAUUUAUUAAAAUGUUGUCAAAUUCUCUAUAGCUUAAUGGCAGGGACUCGACUUAUUACUUGGACAACAGUUUAACAUAUUGUGUUUUGCAAAUCCCAUAUAGAGGGGUGAGACUCGUAAGAACUGACUUGGACUCCAUAGAGCUGCAAAUUUGAACACAUAUUUGCUCAUGGACAAUCAAAACUACCCAACAUGUUGCAUUCUAGUAUGAGAGCCGCAUCAAAAACGACAUUGCUUAUAACAAUCCCAAACAAAAUUGCCACGUAGGGGGGAUACAUGGGCCAACAGCAAGCAAACAGUUGUCAACUUGGUAUCUAUCAUCAAUGGGGCACCUCUAGCAUAGCCUUGUCUUGACAUUGGCUGUUACUCUCGUUGCCAAUAUUUUAAGAAAAGAACUACAAUGUUUUGACACCCAGAAAAAAAAAAUUAUAUAUAUAUAUAUAUAAAAACUAUUUUCGCUAGUUUUGGUAGCAUUUUCUUUGUUUUGUAACUUGCAAGUUCAUUAUCAUCUGCAGAAUUAAUGGGGAUAUUUAGCAGGAAAGGACCUUCUGGGUUUUCUCCCUCUUCUACAGCAGAGGAAGUUACUGAAGGGAUUGAUGGAACUGGUCUGACUGCCAUUGUUACAGGUCAAGCUCUAUUUUAAGCUUCAUAUAUGUGAUAAAAUUUUCUCUUACUACAUUAUCAGGUAUUUCAGUUAUUUGUUUUAUUUGUUUAUGUGAUAAAUUAUAGGAUUUAAUAUGAUUUAGUAUGUCACUGGAGCAACUUCCCAGGUAAACAUGGGAAAAAACUCUUGUUAGUUUCUUGGAUGAUCAUAUGUUACUCUGAGGCUAAAUCAGAUUAAGAUGGUUUCUUUCAUAAGCUCUUCUGAAUUACAUGGAGAUGUAGCUUUUUAGCCUCUGGAUUUGGACAUCUCCAUUGUUUACAUGUGAAUGAGCCUUCCGCCUUGUUUCUCAAAGCAAUGUUUUCAAACAUUUCUGUGUAAAAACUUUGUUUAAUUUCAGGAGCCUCAAGUGGUAUCGGUGCAGAGACAUCACGUGUUCUUGCGUUGCGUGGUGUUCAUGUUGUUAUGGCAAUAAGGAACAUGGAUGCUGGGGCCAAAGUCAAAGAAGCAAUCCUUGAAGAAAUCUCCAACGCUAAGAUUGAUGUCAUGGAGUUGGACCUGAGCUUGUUGGCAUCUGUAAGAAAAUUUGCAGCAGAUUAUAACUCCUCCGGCCUUCCAUUGAACAUUCUUAUGUGAGAUAAGCAAUUUGCAUUUUUAUUACUGGCUAUGCUUCUGGUUUAUAAUUAUUUUCCUCAAUUUACCCCUUUUGUCAAACGUGGCCUUAUUGUACUAGAUUGGAUUGGAUCGUGUGUGAACUUUCCAAAGUCAUACAAAGCUUAAGUUGUCAUAAAGAUCCCUAAAUGCUCUGCACAAUACAGUACAGUCCAGUACCCUGUAUCAAAGCAUAUCAGAUGAGCCCAGAGUGGAGAAUCAAACUUGCCCACCCCGCAAGUUAACACGAUAAGUGAUAAGUGGAUAUAAGGGACGGUUUCGAACAGACUAUCUCUAACACCAGAGUUCUUGUACCAUGUUCGACAACCACCGGACCUCAAAAACUUAUGCUGCUACAAAAUUAGAUCUAACAUAUUUUUAUCAAGCUGACAUGCAUUUAAAAGCUCAUACAGCCAUAAUUCACACUUGAUUAUUAUAUAUAUUCUGACAAUAAGAAGUAAGACACUCUCUUGUUUGUUGGAAGUAACAAUGCAGGGGUAGGAGCAUCUCCAUUCAAGCUUUCUCAAGACAGCAUAGAGCUGCUGUUUGCAACCAACCAUUUAGGUUUGAAACCUAACAAUUGUUUUGAAGUCUAAACUAUCAGAAAAGAGAUCAGUCUUUCACAAGUUGCUUUUGUCAAUUCAUUUGUUACUUAUACUAUCCAAUGUGCAGGCCACUUUCUUCUCACCAAUCUUCUGUUGGAGACCAUGAAAAGCACAUCGCGAGAAAGCAACAUAGAGGGGAGAAUUGUUAAUGUAUCAUCACUACUUCAUCCAUAUGGUUACCGUGAAGGAAUUCGUUUCAAUAAAAUCAACGAUGAAUCAGGGUAAAUCUUUUUUAGGCUAUACUGAUUUAACGUGCUAGGUGUCUGUUUAGGGUAAAUAUGUCAACAAAUCUGCCCCUUUUGCUUGCUAUUUUCCAGGUACAACAGAUACUAUAAUUAUGCGCAAUCCAAGCUUGCUAACAUCCUACAUGCCAAUGAGCUUACAAGGCGUCUCAAGGUAUUGAACGUUUUAAUAUACACUUUCAGAUUUGAUAUGCAUUUCUUGGUUGGCUUGGUAACUUAUGUUUGAAAUUUCAACUGAACAGGAAGAAGGGGUAGAGAUAACAGCUAAUUCUCUACAUCCUGGAGCAAUAGGAACGAAUAUUACGCGCCAUGAUAGCUUUUUACAAUGUAUGCUUCAUCUUCUGUACUUUACCAGCGUCAUUUUUAUAAUAGGAAAGUUCCCUUCAGUGAAAACUAUGAUCAUCUUUUCAUAUCAGCUCAUAAAAAAAGUUCACGGCACUGAUUAUUUGUCUGGUUUUCCACUUAACAACUCACAUUUUCACUGGAUUGGCUUCACACAGGUAUCUUCAGUGUGCUGGGUAUAUUUUUCUCUAAAACUAUCCAACAGGUACUUCUACCUUUCACAAUAUAUGCAGCGUAUGAUUAUUAUUAUUAUUAUUAUUUUUGGGUACUAAAUACUAAUGCUACAAGGACCGUGUUUGUGAAUCUCGCUCUAUCAGAGAUGUGGUCUACAAUUUGAUCAAAUCGUUUUAAUUUAUAAAAACAUGGUCUUGCAGGGAGCGGCAACGACAUGCUUUGCAGCACUCCAUCCACAAGUUAAGGGAGUAGGCGGCGUAUACUUUUCAGACUGUAACAUUGCCAAACCGAGCUCUAAGGCAAAAGAUGCAGAUUUGGCUACCAGGCUCUGGGAUUUUAGCUUGAGUUUGACCGAUGCCAAGCAGUAGGGCAUUUUAAUCCUUGCUGGUUAAUGAUAUGGGUUUUCUGCACUGUUCGUUAUGAAAUCAAUUGCCAACUUUCAAAGUGUAAUAAAAUGCUGGCCUCAAACUACUUCACAUUCGUACCAUAUUUGUAAUUUAUGAUCUUCAAUCUAGGGAUUGUUUUGAGUCUUUAUGGCACAAGGGGUUUCUAAAAAUACCCGAUUUGAACUAUCUUUAUAAAAACAUUAUAUCCAAGGACCUUACUGAAAUUUUUGCUUAUUCAUCAAUAGUCAAUAAAUAAGGUCAUCAGCAGAAGAUAUCUAAAGAGAGAAAUACAGGAGGAAUUAGAUUUCUUCUAUUUGAUGCAAGUAAAUUCAGAUACAACAGUAUAAAGCCGCACAGCCCAUCCCAUCUUAAGAACUGGACUGAGGUGCCAAUGCCAUAAACUGAUACAGGUUCAACAACAAUCUUCACAAAAUCUCAACUCCAAUUUAAUUCCCAACCCCCACUGUACAAUAAUUUGUGCCAUCUCAACCACCCUCUUUCCUCCCGGAAAAACAAAAUAACCAAAAAAUGGUCAGGUUCAAAUACGGCAUCUGAUAGCCUCUUUUUCUUUUUUCUUUUUCUUUUUCCCCAAGGAGCAACAAAAUGUACACUAUUUUACAGCAGCAGAAACAUUAUCUUUACAAGGAAUUAACAAAAGCCGGAUCUCCAAUGACCGCCUUCGACUCCUGCAAAGGGAAGACUUCAACGGUUCAACCACUACCAUAGGAGAAUAUAGCUUAAGAAGCCUCUUCUGCCAAAGUACUGCUUACCACUGGAACAUGACUGAGCAUUGAGGCCUUUCAUAUCAUGUUUCUCUUCUGGCAAUCAGGGUAUCAGAAGAUCCAAAAGCAUCAUUUGUCAAGUUGUUGACUCUUACAGUACAAAAUGGACUUUUCAGCAAUGCCAAUACGCCAGAGAUCAUGCACCCAUUCUAUAUAACUGCUUUGAUAAACCACUAGCGAAGAUUAAGGUCCAUGGAAGGAUUCAGCUUUAUAUGAUCCCUUAAGAGCUGUUGAGACACACGAUCAGCCAAAAUCGACUGCACAUCAAAUAACUCCUGGGGGUCCCUGGGAACAGGAUUCCCUAUCUGAUCUCCCGGUGCACCAUUAUCAGAUGAAAUUAUAUCCAAGAAAGCAUGAGAGGCUUGUGGAAUCCCUCGAAAUAGGUCUGGCUUUGGCUCAUGGUAUGGAAUGCUGCCAUUUGUAUAGAAACCACAGUUCUGAGAUCUCUGGCUCUUCCCCAUGCCUUCAUGUAAGUAGGUUGUUGGCUGCGUCAAGUGUUGAAAAGGAAUUGCACCGCUGCCACCAGUGAGAGGUGUAGAUGAGCCGGAUGUGGUACGAGGGCUAGAUAUGGGAGAAGGAGACAUCCUUCCGCUGAAAUGUUGUGGUGAUCUAGAAUGUAGAAGUGGACUUCCAAUAGGAGAAACAGGGCACGAUACGUUUCUUGGUGUAUGGGCAUCACUGAAAACCAUAAAGGAAAGGGAAAGGUUAAAAUUUUAAUGGAACAUUGAGAGAUGACUGGUAGACAAAUCAGUCCUCAUAUCCCGAGGUGGCAUUAAUAUCAACUAACGAGUUUCCCAACAUUUACUUCUGUAUGGGCUGUGAUGGUAUUGGCAUUGCCUUUCUUUAGAUGAAGGGUUGAAGCAUAUAUUGAGCAUUCUUUAAUUCAAAGUACAAAAUUCCUGUGUUUAAUAAGCUUAACUACUAUUCUGUGGGUAAAUGAGUUGCAAGCAACAGCAAGAUAAAAACCAGGUAUUCAUAAUAACAUGAUGAUUUGGCCAUCAAUUUUAACCACUCAUCUACACAUAAUAAAGAUAUAACUGAGAGAGGAGAAGGAAGAUAUACCUUGAUGCCGAGGCAGUUUUUGAGCCUCUGGACUGAUGGAUGCCCAUCCCUUCUGAGUCCAAGUUAGAAUGAUUUCUCCCGUGUCCAAAGGCCUAAAAGAAUAUUUAAAAAAGGAAAAGAAUGAAAGCUGCAACUGAUAAAGCAGACAAAAGAUGAACUUUUUAAUGUUCUACCCCAAAUAUGCCAGCAUAAAUUGACAUAAAAUAUUAGGCCCCAAAUAGCAUUGCUGGUUGUCCACAUGAAUACAUGGAACCAUAAUUUCUGUUUCCCACAGCAUAUCCAACAUAUAUGGACAUAAAAAAAGGUGUUAUUUUUGCGUAGAUUUUAAGAUCCGGAAAAGCCUUUUCAUGUCCAGUGUCAGCAGAGCAUGUUUAUAUUUAUACGAUGUACAAUCACAGAAGAACAAUAUGAAGGGAUGGGAAACAUUGUGAAUCUUGUUAGUUACAUACAAAUACAGCAAUUACAUAAAGCCAUAAAAUUCUCAUGAUAUUAAAGCCCUUGUCUUUUAGAUGCCUACAUCAUGAGGUAUUCUAUACUUAGUAUUAAAAGUGAAAACUUAAUAUCUGGUUGCCAUAAAUUCAACAAAUCUGAAAAAUGGUAAAUGCAAUAGUCACAUAUGUGCAGUUUAAUGGCAUAGAAAUCGAAUUUGUGGGGGCUAUUGGUUUAGGGUUUAUACCAGAGAUCUCACUGCAGGAGGUCCUUCGGGAGGCUCUGCACUCAAAAUGGUUCUUUCCAAUGGAGCAACAUUUUUAACAAAAGGAUGCUCCAAAAGCUGAGCAGCUAUAGGACGAUUCAGUGGGUUACGUUGCAAACACAGCCUAAUAAAGUCCUUCCCAUCAUCAGACAGAUGAUCAGGAAUUCCAGGAAGUUCCUUACUGUUUCCAAUCUUAAACAUAGCAGCAACCUUUGAAGCACAAACACAAGAACCAGGUCAAGGAAUUUUUGUCAUGCAAGAACUGUCAAUGAGAAAUGUAUAGCAUUAGACUAUUUUGUAAUACUCCAGUCUAUGAAUCCAAAUUUUACUAACCCCUUCAUAUUGACUCCAAGGUGGUUUCGUUGUGGCCAUCUCAAGAACAGUACAACCAAGGCUCCAUACAUCAACCGCAAGAUUACAACCGUUCGAAUUCUUGAUAACCUAAACAGUUGAGUAAAUAAUGUUACCACAAAUCCAGAAAAAAAAUCGUGAUGCAAGAGUGGAAAAAGGAACCAUCCUGACCUCGGGUGCCAUCCAAUACGGGCUUCCCUUGAACGACAAUGGACAAGACUGCCCAGUUAUCUACAAUUAUUCAGAUAAGAUUAAUUAGAACACUCAGAUUCAAGGUUGACAGGAAAAAAAACAUUAAACAACUUGGAGCAAUGUAGCCCUUUUUUUUUAAAACGUUGUCUCGUGUUCUAUUUCUAAACAAAAGGUAGAAAAUGGUGUUACAACAAAAUGAGUACUUAACAAGCAUAUUUUCACUCUCAUAACACACUGGCUUAUAGGAUCUCUUACAAUGCUACCUAUCAGCAUCGAGGUUUCAUGCUAACUGGACAAUCAAACGAAAUGAUUGAAUGGUAAUUACACUAAAAACUUGCAAAUGAAUGAUCUUACAUGCUUAGCCAUCCCAAAAUCUGCCAAUUUUACCCGACCAUUGGGAUCUACUAAUAUAUUUGCUCCUUUGAUAUCCCUGCACAUAAUAAGCUUAUCAUUAGUUCAAAUGACAUUCCUAAACAAUCAAACUUGACAUUCCUAAAUGAUUAAAACACAUGGCCCAUAAGAUUAAUAAAGUUUCAAUAAUAAUGUGACUGACCGGUGGACAGUGUUUUUGGCAUGUAAGUACGCAAGCCCUGACAAGAUUUGUUGAGUAUAACUACGAAUAGCUAUUUCACCAAACUGACCAUACUCUUGAAGCAGUUUAUAAAUGGAUCCACCAGACAUAUACUCCAAGUAUAUGUAAAGUUUGUCAUCUACCUGCUCAGGCAUACACCACCACAUGUCAACAACAGGAAUGACACACUUAUUUAAGAAUAGUUACUAUCGAACGUGUAAACAGCCAAUCUUGACUGACCUAGGCACCAAAACCUUUUUAGAUAUUACACAGUAAUAAGAGGGACUUACUGUCUCAGAUCCAUAAUACUGCACUAUAUUUGGAUGCCGUAAGCGACUUAGCAAAGCAAUUUCCUACAAAACACAAUGCACAAGUAUAUGCCACGUGAAUUGUAAAAAAGACGAAUUGUGCAUUCAAUAAAGGAACACAAAAAAUAUGUAAAGCUUGUAUUGAAAAGUUUACUAAGAAAUAUUCUAUUCUUUGCACUACUGGAAUUUCUAACAGAUCUACUGGGUCACUGACUAGCAAAUAGAACUUACUUGCCCCAGUUGCUGUGCACUUUCUUUUGAUUUUGCAUCAUCUGCAAACAGAGUUACCUCCUUCAUUGCACACAUCUCACCGCUUUCACUGAAGCCCAAAAAUUGAAUCAAACCAGACAUUCAAAAAUUCCAAAGAAGUUGUGCAGUACUUCUAACGACAACAAAGUGGACUAUAAUAAAUCAUAAUUUUAAGUUCAGAAACACUGUCUGCUUAAUAUUUGAUAAGCACAGGAAAAUUGUAAUUUUGAAAUGCUGAUACUUGAAAAUUUCAAUCUGUCACAUGUAGCUUACACUGUCUGCUAAAUACCAUACAUACUGAGAAAUUAUACAACUGUAAAAUUUGCAAUCAAUUAACAGAGCUGAGUUCGGCUACAAACCUGUUAAAACCAAGAUAUACAUGUCCAAAUGUGCCCCUCCCAAGCAGGCGACCCUUCUUCCAACGUGAACCAGGACUUGCUGGAUUCUCUGCCCUAUUAGGGCUACGUGGAACUGUGGGAGUUGUUGCAGCUGAAUAUGCAGGAGAAAAAGGACAGGUAUUAGUUAUUGUUAUUGGAGGAAGGGGCAACCGGUGGCUUUUCUGCUUCCCAUCGUCAGGCCGGUUUGUAGGCGACUCUGCAGCUGGCCCUCCAGCUCGUGGAUGCAGAGGGGUAACAGCACCACUUUGUAUUCUGGAGCUGGGGCCAGGACUGGUCAAUCUAGGACUAGGUAUUGGAGAACACUCAGGGCUACACCUAUUGUGCUGCCAAAACAACGGUCCUGACAGAUCCCCUCCGACUGAAUUAUGCCCAGAAUUUUGACCUGAACCUGGACUAGAGCUGUGAGCAGAAGCUAUUUCUGGAUAAGGCUUCCCUGCCCAGAAAUUGGAGUUCCUAACUUGCUCAGAGCCAUAUACUCUCAUAGGACUCCUAGAAGGACUUGACAGUGAGCUGUCUGGAGCACUAAAGAAAGCACCAUGGUAAGGGAUUUGUAUAUUCUGCAUAUGUGUGCUUGAUGGUCUCCGUUUAGGUGAUGGAGACAGAAUCUGAGUAUUGAACAGAAGAUUAUCCGGCUUCACAGUCUCUUUUGAGUUCUUUUGGUCGACGGUAGGGAAUUGAUCCUUUUGCAUUACACUUCAGCAAAGAUAGAAGUAAAUUUGUCAGGGGUGGACACACGCAAGCACUCACACACAGAUGAAGCAUUUACAGGUGAAUAUGACGGUUAUCUAACAUCAUAACCUGAAAUAAGAUCUUCAUUCUCAAUUAUAUAUAUUAAAACAUACCUGGAAGGGCUGUUCAAAGUUGUUCUGUUUCCAUUUUCAUAGUCAGAUCCCAUGGGACUUAGCAGACGUGAGUCAAUCGGAUCAUCACUAUCAGUAGAGCUAUCACAAGAUAUGGAAGCAGUAGCUAUAUCUCCUUCAGCAUCAGUAGGAUCUUCCCUGCUUGAGACACAUUCAGGUCUUGGAAGGGGCAAAUAGAACAAUUGAUUGGACCCUCUGUCAGAUCCUGGUUUUGAGGAUGCACUGAUGCCAGAGUCGGUACGUCCAAUGUUAGAAAGUUGCACCCUAGGGAGGGGUAGUGGCUGGGCAUGAGGCCGUUCUGCAAAGCUUUGGCAGCGUGAUACUUGUUUGGAGGGUGCAGGUGACAGUGCCCUGGAUAGAGAACCCAUUUCUGAAAUAGUGUCGCUGCAUGGCCUUCGAGAAUUUCCUGAUCUACUAUUGAACUUCUCUUCCGAUGAACUCUUAAGUUUUCGGUGUAUGGUUGCUAUGGUUUCAAUGAAACUCUCCUUAUUUGCUUUCUUCUUUACGUCUUUGGAUGAAGACUUCCUCCACCAAGAAGGCAUGCUUAUGUAAUGAACAAAUUACAGUAGGCAAAUCCUGAGAUAAAUUACUCUCCUUGAUUAUAGAUAAGCUAUCACAUUUAGACCAACUUAAUGAACUGGUGUGCACCUCAUCUAUUCAUAACAAUGAGAAGUAAUCCAGAGCUCAUAUCUAUGGAACCUCUGAAUAACAAAACUCAACAGAUAGCCUUAACACAUUUAGGAAGGGGUCCUAAAUGAGCUGCUCAAUAGAAAUGGUACUCAAUAAGGACCUGUAUAAAUAUUAGAAUGUUUUUUUCAUUAGCUCUUGCCAAGAACAAAUACAAUAGACAAAUACUUUGCAUAAAUGUAUCUCUCAUAAAAAUAUAAAUUUGAAUGAACAGUAGCUGCCGAAGUCAUAAAGAAUGAUAAUCCAGAUUCACGAACUACUGUCAAAAUAACACAUUCUAAUUAUAAAUGUUGGCCUUUUCCAGACCCAAAGAAAAAAAAGUUGCCUUUCCAAUUGCAAAAGGAAAAAAAAAAUCAACAAAACUCUAAAGCCAUUACAUUUUUGUUUGAAGAGCUUUGUUUCUAAAUAAAGAAAUGCUACAGUUUUCCCACAUUUCUGAAUUUUCCAUUACAGACUUGUUUCUAAACCUUUAUUUGUAAAGUUUUCGGGCAAACAGAGGCUAUCAAUAUUAUACUAACGAUCACAUGUCAAUAGCACACUCAAAACGCUUAAGAACCCAAAACACACUUCCUCAGCUCAGAUCUACGCAAUUCAAUCACCCAUUUCAACAAAUUCAAUAGCAUAACUUAAAAAUAUUCAAACCCAAAGGAAAUUAGCAAGUGAAAGAAAACUCUCUCCUACCAAAGAAAAAACCAACAUUAACUUCUAACAAUUUCGAAAUUACGACUCGUUAAAUAAAACCAUAAAAAGCAGAGCUUAAGCUACUCAAACCCAAUGGCGGAGACAACGCGAGCUAAAAAAUGAAACAGGCCCAUAAAUUCACGACAUAAAAUGAAAAAAAAAAACCUUCCGAAUCAUUCAAUUCUUUGCAGCUCAACUGUAGAGUUCAAGGCACUGAAGCAAAAACCCUAACAAUGAAUCACUUACAGUGUGGUGGUGUAUGCAGAGGCCGAAACGACGACGCUAAGAGAAAAAGCUCGAAACUCAGCGUUCGUCUGCCUAUCUGUCCUCCGCAACACGGCUAAGCGAAGAAGCUGAAAAGACACCGAGCAAGGAAGAGAGUUUUUAGAGUGAGAAGAGUUUUUUGUCUGUGCGUUAAGUGUCUCAGAAAUAAAAUAAAUUAAAGUGUUAAUUAAUUAAAUAAGGACGUUUAGGCCGCAUCGCGAUAUAUGGUGAUGACGUGGUACCGUUGGUGGUGACUAAUCGAUUUCGAAGUGAUGACCUCAGUCGGUGUUGUCAUGGCUAGGAACGGUUGCAGGUGAAGGUGUAUGGGGUGUAGAAUGUGGUGAGGAGUAUGGAAUUUUUUGAUGUUUAUUAUAGUUUUUUAACGGCAGCUUUACUCAAAUAUUAUUCCAUUAUCACCAUGCUUUACGCAAUUGUGUUUUUCCUUUCUUUUGUUGAGAUCCUUAUUUUUGGUUUAUCCAUAGCCUAUCGUUUGUUUCGAACCUUUGGCUUUGUGCAAUGUCACAGGUAACAUUAUUUUGUCAAACUUGUCAAUUGUAAUCUAAAUUGAGAGUUUCAAAAUUGUUUUAUGAAACGAAAUUUACUUUGCAAUGGGUAGGGAGUUCUACGGAUGAAUUUUGAAUUUAUAUUGUUAAUAAUGUAUCGAUAAUGUGUUGGUACGUUUUGUUAUUAACAUGUUAUCAACCAUGAUAUCCACACAUCUAUAGUACUUUUUUUAAUAUAAAAAAUCGAACAUUUUAUCAAGAAAAACAAAGAAUUUUAUGAGUACUAAAACAAUUUCUAAAUGAUAGCAUUUUAAAAAUGGGAUUGAAUAUAAAUAAAACAAAUGUCAUGGAGAUGAGUGGUGUGUGUAGAAAUAGUGGUGGGGGUGGCAACAUCAGCAAGAGUGAUGCUGUUGGUGAUGGGAGUACAGAUGUGAUGAUGUUGUGAUGGCCGGGGGCGUGGCGGCGGCGUGUUGGUGGUAAGGUGGUGGUGAUGUUGUUGGGAAGUUGGUGGCGAUGGUCACGGUUGUUGCUUUCUUUUUUUCCCUUAAAAUAUUUUAUAAUAUUGUGAUUGUAGAGAUAUAAAACAAUUGUCAUUUAUGAAAAUUGAACUCAAGAACCCCUUCAAUAAAUUCGAAAUAGGCUUUGACAGAAAUGACCUCUACUUAGGUUUGGAUUUGACACCCCAAUUCCAAGGUUUUAUUAUCCAAACAGGCCGUUACAUAAUUCAUUUCACUCUUUUUGUUUCUUGGAAAUUCAUUUCACUUAAAGAGAAGUGAAUCACACGUCAGCUUCCAUCUAGAGAUUUCCAAAGUUUGUUUCCUUAUGUGAAUUUUCAGUAUAUCUAUAGUAACCUCCAUAAGAAUCACACUGUCUUACCAUAAUAGCAGGUCUAUGUGCUCUGGUUGCCAAUUAAAUAAUAUUCUAUAAUUCUUAGUUUUUGUAUAUUUAAAAAAAAAAAAAAAAUCUCUCUUCUCUUGUCCUCUAUUUUCAUUUGCUUCUUUUUUUUUUGGAAAUUCAAGUAUUUUUCUUCUUUCUGACCAUAUAUCUCUGGUUUGGGAUGCACCCAAACUUCUCCCUUUUACUACUUUCCUUUCUCUUCUCCGGCGACGCACCAUAUCUCAUUUCUCGACAAUCCAGGUACGUUAGUAACUUUUUCAUGUUAUUAAUUUAUUCUAAAAUUUAAACAAAUAGCAUCAUUUCAAUAGAUAUCACAUCAGCUUGAUGGCGUAGUAGAACUACAAUACAUAUAGAAUUUUUUUCCUUACAAAGAGUAUUAUUGUUUUGAUUUUGUUCUCCUUGUCCAUAAUUAACCUCUUCACAUUUUGAUUCUUGAACACGAAAAGAGUAGCUUUGGGUUUUACUAAGAAAAAGAAUUGGCUAAAUAUACCGAACCAGAUGACUGGUCUCAUUUGGUUCGAUUUUCAAUUUUUUUUAAGAUUUGAUAUUCAAAAUUGAAAUAGACCGCCAAAACUGAUUUAAAACAUCACUAUGUUGGCAAUAAACACAAAUGUCGGCUUCUUAUUCGCUGGUUUCAAAAUUAUUAUUGUUCACAUUGCACAAAAACAACCCACAAUUUUUUUGCACCCAAAUCUCUUUCUCCUAAAUGACCCACAUUUUUUAACCUAAUCUCUCUCUCUCUCUCUCUCUCUCUCUCUCUCUCUCUCUCUCUCUCUCUCUCUCUCAUAUCUUUUGAUCUACUGUUUUAGCCCCUGUCCCCACCACUAUGGCCCAUGUGUGUCUACCUUCUCUCUAGAUCUCAUAAGCCGAACCCAACCAUACGACCCUCUCCCUCCGCCACCGCAACCCUUGAUCUCCCCAUGGGUCAGGGCUUAUCUCGUAUGGAUGGGCAUGGGAAUAUAGCUCUUGCCCGAAGUUUAGCCCUUUUUUAUUAUCAAUGUCCAACAUUGAAAAGAGAAAUACUGCUAGACUAAAAGAUAGUUCGUCUCUGCUUACACAUUUACUAAAAUAAAAAUAUUAGAAAUAUUAGAGAACUUUAGUUGAAGGAUCCCUCAAAUAAGUUUAUUUGAGAGACACCCUUAUGGGGCCUAUCUACAUUGUAUUUUCAUAAUCUGAACCGUCUACAUUUUAGGUAUUCCUUCAAAGAUCAUCCCUGCAAAAAAAAAUCACUUUAGUCCAAAAUCAUUUUACCACUCAAUCGAUGGUUGUAGUUUUAGUGUUUUUUUGAACCACCAGGAUCGUCGAUUUUGUUGAUCACAACUAGAUGUCUUAAUGACUUCCGAUUUUUGCUAUUUUUUUUUUGCAAAAAUGAUCUUUGAAUGAAGACUUAAUGGACAAUUCAGAUAGUUGAAAUGGACCCUACAAGAUGUCCCUCAAAUAUCCCUCAAUAAAAGUGAAUUGUUAGAAAUAUAUACUUAUAAUUAUUUUAAUCUUGAGUUUUAAUUUAUGAUCUUCUUUUAAACUUAUGUGUAGUUGUCAAUAGUUUUUGUUUUGGUUAAAAAAAAAAAAAAAUUUUGCUAUAAUACAAUAUGGUACAUAUUAAUGUGUUUAUAUAUUUCUCCCUCACACACACACAAACUAUCCAUAAAUCGAAAUGAAGGCCUCAGGUGUUUGUUUGUCUUCCCCCAAAAACAAUAACCAAUUAUAAACCCUUGUUGUUUCUCUCAGUUUCAGCAAUGGAAGCAGUGCAACUCUCUACAAACUUAACCCUUGCCACCCCCAUGCCACAACUGCAAGACCAAGUUCAGGACCAAGUUCAAGACCAAUUUCAAGACCAAGUUCAAGACCAAGUUCAAGACCAAGUUUCAACAACGUUGGCUUUAUGUGAUCCAUCUUGGACACCACUGAACAGAACAGAAGAGGAAGAAGGCUCAGCUUCUUCUACCCCAGCACAUGAAAACAUCUGUACAAUAAUGCAGAAUGUCAUAGAAGAAGAGCUGAAAAGAAGAGCAGUGGCUGCCCAGAUUUCCAGGCUGCUCACAGUUUGCAGCUACAAUCAGAUACUUCAUGGCAUGUGGAGGGUACCAGCAAACCCGAGCCCAUUUCGCAAUGUUUGGGAGAUUAGGAAGACACUGACAACAAGCGAUGUUGGACAAAAUGUGAGCAGGACCAGCAGCAGGCUGCUGCUGAACACACAUAUGGUCAAGAAAAGCCUCCUGCCCUACUGGAGUUCUCGACUUAUUAAUCGAGUCGAAAGCCAAGAGGGAGCUGCAGUUACAAUCUACGAUUGUAACACAAGCUCCCAGCAUCACUUGACUUUCAAGUAUUGGAAGAGCUCAAGGACAUAUGUUUUGAUAAAAAAAUGGAACAGAGAAUUUGUGAGGAGGAGGCAGUUGAAGGCUGGCGAUGAAAUUGGAUUUUUCUGGGAUGUUCACAGGUUGAUGCUCAUGUUUUCUGUGCUUGGACGCGCAGGGCACCAACUGCCUUCUUUUGCUUGAACAAGCAGAGAACAUUUUUAAGGAACUUUUUUCAGCUUUUGGCAGCCUUUUGUUAUUGAUCAAACAUUGGCAUAUGUUCUGGAUUUUUGAACUGUUUGAGGCUUAGUUUUCUUGGUUUCUUAAUUGGCUUAUCAGAAACUUUCUUAUGUUAUAUAUGCUGCUCAUUUGAACCACAUAUUUUAGCACUUACGAGUAUUCAAAGUGUUUGGAUUGUGUCAUGAUAUGUUUUACUGCACUUGAGUUUUCGGUUUACCGGAAAGAAUUCACAGUCCGGAGGGUGCUGGAAUUAGAGUCGUAAAAGGAGAGGUUAGUAAGCCAGUGCCACAAGGAACUAUAGUUACUUCUGGUUUUCUAUUUUUGAUCAAACAUUGUGGAGUUCAGGUUAAUUUAUUGAAUUAGUUGAGCACUAAUUUUCUUAGUUUGUUUAAGUGUUAUUGCAUAUAACAUAACCAAUUUUGGAUGGAAAUCUUUUUUUGCUAUGGAACACACAGAAGAUAAUGCUUCUCUUAUGUGGAAGGAUUUAGUAUAUAUAAGUUGUAUAUCUACGAGGACAUAUUAAUCGUUUUAUUAGUCCGUAAAUUCAUAUCUGAUUUGCAUUUGAGUACUUUAAUUUUCAAAAUGGUUCUCGUGGUCCUUUAAUUUUAGUUUCAUUAGGACAAAUGGUCCUACCAUUAAUUUUGUUAACUUUUUUGUUAAAUGCAGGGACAAAAUGGUAUUUUUUAAUCAAAAUUGAUUAAAAUAUGAAUAAAAAAUUAAAAUUAAACUAUCUCUCUCUCCCCAUCUAUCCCGAUUUCUACUCCCUCAAAAUUUGAUUUUAUUUUAUUUUUGGUUGGUUUUUUAUUUGAUUUGUUUUUAUUGUUAUUUUAAAGAUAUGAUUUUUUUAUUCAUUUUUUUUGUUUUAAUAUUAAAAUACCAUUUUGCCCAUGCAUUUAACAAAAAAAGUUAACAAAGUUGACGGCAGGACCAUUUGUCCUAACGAAACUAAAGUUAAAGGACCACGGGAACCAUUUUGGAAAUUGAGGUACUCAAAUGCAAAUCGGAUCUAAAUUCAAGGACUAAUAAAAUGAUUAAUCCUAUAUGCUAACAAUAGUCCUAGUUACACAAUGGAAGAAAGUAUAAUACACUUAUCUGUCAAAUAAAUAAGUAAAAGUGUGCGGAAUGUGUUGUUGGCUCGAUACAAGUCAUGAUUUGUGAAGCCAAAAUAGUAGAAAUCUAAUAAUAAUUUACGGUUCAAAUAUAUGUGGUAUCCUACUAAUUGCGCCAAUGUCUUUUCAGUUAAAACACUCACACCCUGGAGGUCUAUUGGACCUAACUCGACCCAGAAUAUUAGACUUGGAUGAUUAAAGUGGGGACAAUAUCAGUCCAUACUUGAAUUUGACAGUGGACUCCUACAUUACAUGUACUUAGACAGAAAAGAGUAUGUUAUUAAUUAUCCUCCCUAAUUACCUUUUUUGGUUGUUGUCAAACCAUCCCUAAUUACUUAGCCACCAAGAAAGCUACAGAGUCUACAAGGAAAAAUCUCCAAUGCCAAAGUAAUUUCUUUAUAAUCUCUAUCUCUAUAAAUAGCCCAUAUUGACUUUCAACCCAAGUAUCACAAACUCUAUCUCUCAGUUUUAUUUUUAUUUUUUGGGGUCUUCCUCUCUCUCUGUGUGUACAAUGGAAGAGAAAGAGGCCUCAACAACACUAACCCUUGGCCCUGCAACUCCAUGCCCACAAGAGAAAGUUUCAACAGAGCUUGGCCUUGCAGCUCCAUGCCCACAAGAUGAAGUUUCAACAGAGUUGACUUUGUGGACCACAAAUAAGAAGAAGAGAAAACCAGAGACAGAGUGCCCUGUUCCGAGGAAGAAAACAAACACGAAUUUGGUCUCUUGGCUGAAACCUAGUGAGGCUUGGGAAAUCAAGAAGACACUCACGCCUAGUGAUCUCGAAAACUUGCUAAUUGUGGAAACAAAUUUUAUCGAGAACCAGGUUAUGUCUUUCUUGGGUGACACGUUUUCCAAAAGGGUACUUGAGAGCAAGUAUGGCGCCCGAGUCACAGUUCACGACCGCGAUACAUUUUCGAAGCAUCGAAUGGUUUUAAAGCUGCGCGAUUCGCCUAGGAGGAGUUACAUUUUGGAUGAAGAUUGGCAGCAGGAGUUUGUGAAGAGGAGAGAAUUGAAGGAGGGUGAUGAGAUUGGAGUUGGCUGGUACACACCCUCAAAUGUUCCUUCCAAAGCCAUGUUCACUUUUUCGGUACUUAAACGGGCAGGCCAACCUGCACCUCUUCAUGAUCAGGAAUCAGUUUAAUGAUGUAACCUGUCUGUAAGAAUUUUUACUAAAUUUUUGUAUGUACUUCUGGCAAAAGUGCUAAGUAAAAAUACUCAACUUUAAAGUUUAAUAUAUUUGGUCUAUGUGUACAACUCAACUUUUCGAGUAUUCUAUAUAUCCCAUCUUUGCUUGGAUUUCCCUUUUCUUUCUUUCUUUUCCUUUAGUUCGUUAUAAUUUUCAAUCUUUUGGUUGUUUGUGGAAUUAUUAUUAUAUUUUUAUUUCUGGUGUUUUCACAAAACUUUAUGAGGUUUCAAAAAUUAUACUAACACCCUCGAGAUUUCAGAUUGUUCUACAAAAUCCAUUUUCGUUUCCAAGGGCGAACCUAUGUGGAGGGCAUGCCGGGCAGCUGCCAGACCCAUUUUGUGAAUUCUCUUUCUUGUGAGCUUUAGUUAUCUAUUAUCUCUCGCUCUUGUGGGCUUUAAUGUCCUAUUAUCUCUCUCUUGUGGGCUUUAGUUUCCUAUUAUCUCUCUUGUGGGCUUUAAUUUCCUCUUGUAGGCUCUCUCUCUCUCUCUCUCUCUCUCUCUCUCAAUUGGGUUUUUGUUAUUCUUAUUAUUAAUUUUUAGGAUUUGAAUAUGAGUUUUGGUUAUUUGUUGAUAAUAUAUUAAUAUCUGUGGGUAAGCUUCUGUUAUUAUUUUUGUAUUGCAUUGCAUUUACUUGUUGUUUUAUAAGCUUUUCUUUAUGUAUAAAGAUGCAUUUGAGGGUAAUGCUCAUUACUUCUAUUGACUAGGUGUAUUUUUUGUAUGUUUAUUAAUAAAAUUUACUCAUACAGUCGAAUUGUUAGUGUAAGUUUCGUCCGGCCGGCUAUCGAAUCUUGGAUCCGCCACUGGAUUGUUCGUCCAAAAUUUGAUGAUUUCUUUUAAAAAAAUACUCAUGCAAAUGACAAAAUAACCUUAAUGAAUGCAUGUGCAAUUUAAUUUCAAAGGCUAACUUUGUCAUUUGGAGUUUUUCUUUGAACCGAAAAAUCAAUGAAAAUGGAUUUUGUGAAAACAAUUUAAAAUCUCAAGAGGUGUUAGUGUAAAUAACUCUUUUCAAAAUUACCAAGUUUGUUAUAUAUUUAGAUAAGAAUUAGUGUUUAAGCGUUGGCCAGUACAUGGUUUUGAGUCUUUCACUAAAUGAGAUCAAAAUGGAAGGAAGACAAGACAUGGAGGGGCGGCAUAACCUUGGAAGUGUUGUUCCCCUCAUUGCAAAUUGUUUUUGGAGUGCAACCUCAAUUUCUUCCUCUCGCUAAGGUUGUUUUUCUUUUUUAAGUUUUUGUUAUUAUUUUCAAUGAUAAAGUUGAGUACUACUAAUUUUAACGGUAAAAUAAUAAUAAUAAUAAUAAUUUAACAUGGAUCACGUUUUGAGUGGAAGGCUAUACAUUGUAAUAAAAAAAGUGGAAGUGAAAAUAACAAACAAAACAGAACUCUGAUGAAAAAGGCCGCAUAUAUGCACAUUACACGUCAUAUACGCCAGCUGACUGGAAGUUGUUCAUUUAAUGAUCGAUCGAGUACUGGAAAAGUUACUAAUGACCAACGUUCACAAACGGUUCGCUGUAAAUUUGAAAUAAAAUUACUUUUAUCUCCAGGAAAAUCACCCUAAGCGUCUGAGUUAAAAUAAAACCAAACCCAACAAGGAAAUGCGAGUUUCCUAAUUGAAAAGGGUAACAAUAUGUUAUAAAUACGCACACAUGUUGCUCUUAUUGUCAACUUCAUUCCAUCUCUCUGUUUUCUUUCUCCCCUGCAACUAGAAUUUAUCAAUUCAUUGGUUUUGUAGUUUGAUUUCCUUCUGUUAAUUUCAACAUUAACAAUGAAGGAAGAAAUUGAUCUCUCAGCACUCCUGGACCUGACCCUUGGCCUUCCUGGAGCUAGGGUUAACCCUUGCCCAGAACCAGACCAACUUUCCACUGCCCUCACUUUGUGUGAUCCAACUUGGAAUUACGACACACACCAGAGAAAAGCAGAGGAAUAUUUAGACCCUGCUCCUCUCAGAUUUGCCCUUCCUAAUCCGGAACACGAGAAAAUGUCGGGUACGAAUGAUAUCAACAAGGAAUUAAAGAAGAAGAAGAGAAACCAAGCAGUGCCGGAUACGGUGAGUCUACAGCCUCGGGAUGAGGGGCCUUGGAAAAUCAGGAAGAAGCUGACAGCAAGCGACACUGGAAACUGCUCAAGGCUACUGAUGCCGAAAAAAUCGGUCAUCGACCAUGUUAUGUGUUACUUGGAUGACAAGUUUGCCAAAAGGGUCAUGAGCGGAGAGGGUAUAGGAGUUUUGGUUGUAGACUGCGACACAAACACCGGGCAUUACUUGAAUUUCAAGCUUUGGGGGUCAGCCGAGUUUUACAUUCUCAACGGAGAUUGGAGGCAAGAGUUUGUGCACAGGAGAGGCUUGAAGGAGAAGGAUAGAAUUGGGCUUUAUUGGGAUACCUCCAAAUCCAUGUUCAUGUUUUCUGUUCUUGAAAGGGCAAUCCAAUCCCAAUUCCCUGCUUGAUCAAUUUGAGAUUUCAAUUAUGAUCAGAAUUGUAACUAGCUAGAUAGUUUAUUCAAUUACCUUUUUAAUUCCUCAGUUUGAGACAUUUGUUGUAAAAGACUUGUGUUUAUCCAAGUCCAAGUGAAUUCUAUGAAUCAAAUCAUACAUUUUCCCAUCAAUAUUUUUUCUUUAUAUUGAUUUGCUUCCUGUUAUAAGUUUUAGUUACACAAAUAAAACAGUUGUUACUGAAAAAUUACUUCAUUCCAAUCUUGCUUUGUUGCCUCCUUUGCUGCCAACGUUGGGGUUGGCAGAUCAAGAAACCUCUCAUAAUUUGUGGAUUAAUUCCUCAGAUGAUUUCUGAUAUAAGUAUUCCAAACCUCCAAGACGCACCGUUUUGCCACAAUGUGUGACACUGAAAUGGAAUUUAGGUCUAAACUUUUUUGGUUGCACUUGGUGGAUUGCAACCCUCAAUUUUUUUCAUUUAGCUGCUGCUACUUCGAAAACAAAAGAAUUAUUGAUUCCAAUGGUCCCCAUUUAUUGCUCUAGUAUCAUUUUGGUCCACCAAAUAAAAUUUUCAUUUGAACCGUCCUUCAACUCUUUUUUUUUGUAUCAAGAUGAUCCUACCGUUAAAGUCUGUCAAUUUUAUUAUUAAAUUGAGAGGUAAAAAUGUCUCUAAGAAUUAAAAUAGUAAUAUAUAAUUAAAAAUUAAAGGAAACUAUUAUAAAACUUAGAAAAUUUUAAAAAAUUGAAUCUCACCAGCCACAUGGCUUUUUUUUUUUCGGUGAGACUGACCUAACAAUUAAUAAUAAUAAAUUCUCUAUUGUUUAAAUUAAUUAAAAGCACAUAAAAAUAAUUUUUUUUAAGAGUAAACAAUAAUUAAAAAUUAAAGGAAACUAUUAUAGGAA